rnacentral:rRNA from 1 species
AGAGUUUGAUCCUGGCUCAGGACGAACGCUGGCGGCGUGCCUAACACAUGCAAGUCGAACGAGGUCCAUCUGGUGGCAACACCAGUGAAGACCGAGUGGCGAACGGGUGAGUAUCACGUGAGCAACCUACCCCGAAGACCGGGACAACACCGGGAAACCGGUGCUAAUACCGGAUGCCCCCACCGGGCCGCAUGACCUGGUGGGGAAAUGGAUUCCGCUUCGGGAGGGGCUCGCGGCCUAUCAGCUAGUUGGUGGGGUAACGGCCUACCAAGGCACCGACGGGUAGCUGGUCUGAGAGGACGAUCAGCCACACUGGGACUGAGACACGGCCCAGACUCCUACGGGAGGCAGCAGUGGGGAAUCUUGCGCAAUGGGCGAAAGCCUGACGCAGCAACGCCGCGUGAGGGACGAAGGCCUUCUGGGUUGUAACCCUCUUUCAGCAGGGACGAUUGUGACGGUACCUGCAGAAGAAGCCCCGGCCAACUACGUGCCAGCAGCCGCGGGUAAUACGUAGGGGGGCGAGCGUUGUCCGGAUUUAUUGGGCGUAAAGAGCUCGUAGGCGGCUUGGGCAAGUCGGGUGUGAAAUCUCCAGGCUCAACCCUGGAGUCGCCACUCGAUACUGCCAUAGCUAGAGUCCGGUAGGGGAGCGCGGAAUUCCUGGUGUAGCGGUGAAAUGCGCAGAUAUCAGGAGGAACACCAGCGGCGAAGGCGGCGCUCUGGGCCGGAACUGACGCUGUGGAGCGAAAGCGUGGGGAGCGAACAGGAUUAGAUACCCUGGUAGUCCACGCCGUAAACGUUGGGCACUAGGUGUGGGGCCUUAUCGACGGGUUCCGUGCCGUAGCUAACGCAUUAAGUGCCCUGCCUGGGGAGUACGGCCGCAAGGCUAAAACUCAAAGGAAUUGACGGGGGCCCGCACAAGCGG